GAUGAACGCUGGCGGCGUGCCUAAUACAUGCAAGUCGAACGCUUUGUGGUUCAACUGAUUUGAAGAGCUUGCUCAGAUAUGACGAUGGACAUUGCAAAGAGUGGCGAACGGGUGAGUAACACGUGGGAAACCUACCUCUUGGCAGGGGAUAACAUUUGGAAACAGAUGCUAAUACCGUAUAACAAUGACAACCGCAUGGUUGUUAUUUAAAAGAUGGUUCUGCUAUCACUAAGAGAUGGUCCCGCGGUGCAUUAGCUAGUUGGUAAGGUAAUGGCUUACCAAGGCGAUGAUGCAUAGCCGAGUUGAGAGACUGAUCGGCCACAAUGGGACUGAGACACGGCCCAUACUCCUACGGGAGGCAGCAGUAGGGAAUCUUCCACAAUGGGCGAAAGCCUGAUGGAGCAACGCCGCGUGUGAUGAAGGGUUUCGGCUCGUAAAACACUGUUGUAAGAGAAGAAUGACAUUGAGAGUAACUGUUCAAUGUGUGACGGUAUCUUACCAGAAAGGAACGGCUAAAUACGUGCCAGCAGCCGCGGUAAUACGUAUGUUCCAAGCGUUAUCCGGAUUUAUUGGGCGUAAAGCGAGCGCAGACGGUUAUUUAAGUCUGAAGUGAAAGCCCUCAGCUCAACUGAGGAAUUGCUUUGGAAACUGGAUGACUUGAGUGCAGUAGAGGAAAGUGGAACUCCACGUGUAGCGGUGAAAUGCGUAGAUAUAUGGAAGAACACCAGUGGCGAAGGCGGCUUUCUGGACUGUAACUGACGUUGAGGCUCGAAAGUGUGGGUAGCAAACAGGAUUAGAUACCCUGGUAGUCCACACCGUAAACGAUGAGUGCUAGGUGUUUGAGGGUUUCCGCCCUUAAGUGCCGCAGCUAACGCAUUAAGCACUCCGCCUGGGGAGUACGACCGCAAGGUUGAAACUCAAAGGAAUUGACGGGGACCCGCACAAGCGGUGGAGCAUGUGGUUUAAUUCGAAGCAACGCGAAGAACCUUACCAGGUCUUGACAUCCCUUGACAACUCCAGAGAUGGAGCGUUCCCUUCGGGGACAAGGUGACAGGUGGUGCAUGGUUGUCGUCAGCUCGUGUCGUGAGAUGUUGGGUUAAGUCCCGCAACGAGCGCAACCCUUAUUACUAGUUGCCAGCAUUCAGUUGGGCACUCUAGUGAGACUGCCGGUGACAAACCGGAGGAAGGUGGGGAUGACGUCAAAUCAUCAUGCCCCUUAUGACCUGGGCUACACACGUGCUACAAUGGCGUAUACAACGAGUUGCCAACCCGCGAGGGUGAGCUAAUCUCUUAAAGUACGUCUCAGUUCGGAUUGUAGGCUGCAACUCGCCUACAUGAAGUCGGAAUCGCUAGUAAUCGCGGAUCAGCACGCCGCGGUGAAUACGUUCCCGGGUCUUGUACACACCGCCCGUCACACCAUGAGAGUUUGUAACACCCAAAGCCGGUGGGGUAACCUUCGGGAGCCAGCCGUCUAAGGUGGGACAGAUGAUUAGGGUG
rnacentral:rRNA from 1 species